rnacentral:rRNA from 1 species
GGGGAAUUUUCCUGCAAUGGGCGAAAGCCUGACGGAGCAAUGCCGCGUGGAGGAGGAAGGCCCGAGGGUUGUAAACUCCUUUUCUCAGAAAAGAAGAUCUGACGGUAUCUGAGGAAUAAGCAUCGGCUAACUCCGCUGCCAGCAGCCGCGGCAAGACGGAGGAUGCAAGCGUUAUCCGGAAUGAUUGGGCGUAAAGCGUCUGUAGGUGGUUUAUUAGGUCUGCUGUUAAAGCACAGGGCUCAACCCUGAUAUAGGCGGUAGAAACUGGUAGGCUUGAGUAUGGUAGGGGUAGAGGGAAUUCCCGAUGUAGUGGUGAAAUGCGUUGAUAUCGGGAAGAACACCAAAGGCGAAAGCACUCUGCUGGGCCAAUACUGACACUAANAGACGAAAGCUAGGGGAGCAAAUGGGAUUANAUACCCCAGUAGUC